rnacentral:rRNA from 1 species
AUUGAACGCUAGCGGCAGGCCUAACACAUGCAAGUCGAACGAGUGGCGGACGGGUGAGUAAUGUCUGGGAAACUGCCUGAUGGCGGGGGAUAACUACUGGAAACGGUAGCUAAUACCGCAUACCAUCGGAUCUGCCCAGAUGGGAUUAGCUAGUUGGUGGGGUAAAGGCUCACCAAGGCGACGAUCCCUAGCUGGUCUGAGAGGAUGACCAGCCACACUGGAACUGAGACACGGUCCAGACUCCUACGGGAGGCAGCAGUGGGGAAUAUUGGACAAUGGGCGCAAGCCUGAUGCAGCCAUGCCGCGUGUAUGAAGAAGGCCUUCGGGUUGUAAAGUACUUUCAGCGGGGAGGCGUUACCCGCAGAAGAAGCACCGGCUAACUCCGUGCCAGCAGCCGCGGUAAUAC